rnacentral:rRNA from 1 species
AGUCGAACGGAGCUUAGAGAGCUUGCUUUUUAAGCUUAGUGGCGAACGGGUGAGUAACGCGUGAGUAACCUGCCCUAGAGUGGGGGACAACAGUUGGAAACGACUGCUAAUACCGCAUAAGCCCACGGUACCGCAUGGUACUGAGGGAAAAGGAUUUAUUCGCUUUAGGAUGGACUCGCGUCCAAUUAGCUAGUUGGUGAGGUAACGGCCCACCAAGGCGACGAUUGGUAGCCGGACUGAGAGGUUGAACGGCCACAUUGGGACUGAGACACGGCCCAGACUCCUACGGGAGGCAGCAGUGGGGGAUAUUGCACAAUGGGGGAAACCCUGAUGCAGCGACGCCGCGUGGAGGAAGAAGGUUUUCGGAUUGUAAACUCCUGUCGUUAGGGACGAUAAUGACGGUACCUAACAAGAAAGCACCGGCUAACUACGUGCCAGCAGCCGCGGUAGAACGUAGGGUGCAAGCGUUGUCCGGAAUUACUGGGUGUAAAGGGAGCGCAGGCGGGAAGACAAGUUGGAAGUGAAAACCAUGGGCUCAACCCAUGAAUUGCUUUCAAAACUGUUUUUCUUGAGUAGUGCAGAGGUAGAUGGAAUUCCCGGUGUAGCGGUGGAAUGCGUAGAUAUCGGGAGGAACACCAGU